rnacentral:rRNA from 1 species
CCGCCGGCGACCGGCGCACGGGUGAGUAACACGUAUGCAACCUGGCCGUGACAGAUGGAUAACCGGGAGAAAUCCCGCCUAAUACAACAUAAUGCCGGGAGGGGACAUCCCCUGCCGGCCAAAGGGGGCGACCCCGGUCACGGAUGGGCAUGCGGCGCAUUAGGUAGUUGGUGGGGCAACGGCCCACCUAACCGACGAUGCGUAGGGGUUCUGAGAGGAAGGUCCCCCACACUGGUACUGAGACACGGACCAGACUCCUACGGAAGGCAGCAG